AUUAUAAUUGCAAGAAGACAUUAAUGCCAGAGUUUUGUGACAAAAAAAAAACAAGAAAGUUUAAUUAUAAGAUUGAAAUUGACAAACAAGGAUUUCGACAGGUCGAAUAAAGCGUCGAUUGGGAUUAUAAAUGGUUCCAAUUUUGAUUGUUGCAUACGCCAUCAUGCUGCAUACAGUGACAUUGGCAACGGCAACAACUGCAAAUGGUCACAUUGUUAAAAGAAGUUAUUCCGACCAAAGCGUUCAUGGUUACAUGACCGAGCGAACUUGUUG